GCAUGAAGUCGGAAUUGCUAGUAAUCGCGGAUCAGAAUGCCGCGGUGAAUACGUUCCCGGGUCUUGUACACACCGCCCGUCACACCAUGGGAGUCGGAAAUGCCCGAAGUCCGUGACCCAACCGCAAGGAGGGAGCAGCCGAAGGCAGGUCGGAUGACUGGGGUGAAGUCGUAACAAGGUAUC
rnacentral:rRNA from 1 species